GACGAACGCUGGCGGCGUGCUUAACACAUGCAAGUCGAACGGAAAGGCCUCUUUCGGGGGGUACUCGAGUGGCGAACGGGUGAGUAACACGUGAGUAACCUGCCCUUGACUUUGGGAUAACUUCAGGAAACUGGGGCUAAUACCGGAUAGGAGCUCCUGCUGCAUGGUGGGGGUUGGAAAGUUUCGGCGGUUGGGGAUGGACUCGCGGCUUAUCAGCUUGUUGGUGGGGUAGUGGCUUACCAAGGCUUUGACGGGUAGCCGGCCUGAGAGGGUGACCGGCCCAUUUGGACUUGGGUACGGCCCAGACUUCCUCCGGGGGCAGGAGGUGGGAAUUUUUCCACAUGGGUGGGAGCCUUAAUGCGGAACGCCCGUGUGCGGAUUGCCGGCUUUCGGGUGGAAACCGCUUUCGCUCAUGACGAAGCUUUGUGUGACGGUAGUGGGUAAAGAAGCACCGGCUAACUACGUG
rnacentral:rRNA from 1 species